rnacentral:rRNA from 1 species
GAUGAACGCUGACAGAAUGCUUAACACAUGCAAGUCAACUUGAAUUUGGGUUUUUAACUUAGAUUUGGGUGGCGGACGGGUGAGUAACGCGUAAAGAACUUGCCUCACAGCUAGGGACAACAUUUAGAAAUGAAUGCUAAUACCUGAUAUUAUGGUUAUAGGGCAUCUUAGAAUUAUGAAAGCUAUAUGCACUGUGAGAGAGCUUUGCGUCCCAUUAGCUAGUUGGAGAGGUAACAGCUCACCAAGGCGAUGAUGGGUAGCCGGCCUGAGAGGGUAAACGGCCACAAGGGGACUGAGACACGGCCCUUACUCCUACGGGAGGCAGCAGUGGGGAAUAUUGGACAAUGGACCGAGAGUCUGAUCCAGCAAUUCUGUGUGCACGAUGAAGUUUUUCGGAAUGUAAAGUGCUUUCAAUUGGGAAGAAAAAAAUGACGGUACCAACAGAAGAAGUGACGGCUAAAUACGUGCCAGCAGCCGCGGUAAUACGUAUGUCACGAGCGUUAUCCGGAUUUAUUGGGCGUAAAGCGCGUCUAGGUGGUUAUGUAAGUCUGAUGUGAAAAUGCAGGGCUCAACUCUGUAUUGCGUUGGAAACUGUAUAACUAGAGUACUGGAGAGGUAAGCGGAACUACAAGUGUAGAGGUGAAAUUCGUAGAUAUUUGUAGGAAUGCCGAUGGGGAAGCCAGCUUACUGGACAGAUACUGACGCUAAAGCGCGAAAGCGUGGGUAGCAAACAGG